GAGAGGCUGCUUUCCUGGGCCUACAAUUGGAGUUCCCUUCUCCUUGCCAUCCCCAGAAACUCCAAGAGCUGACCCUCUGUCUUACUAACUCAAACGGCCCAGAAACAUCAAAGUCUGACCAAAAACCGUUAAUGGUAGUCAGCUCCCUCCCUUUCACAGAGGUCUCACUACUGUCGGGGGGCGCCGGGCGCAGGCCGGGCAUGGGGCCUGAGCUUAGGCCAGGUGGAAAGGUGGAAGGACCUAGUGGGGACAGACGAAGAGACCGAGGAGCCGCCCGCCCGGCUAAAUGGACACAGGAAAGGCCUGAGUCAGGCUUCUCAUAAUAAAUAAACUGCACGUGAAUAAUUCAGCAGUCGCGCGGGGGCCGGUUGCAUCAGCGCCGCCGCCGCCGCGCGGCGCCCAAUUCCCCGCGGAGGGGAGUAGCCAAUUAAGGCACUUGAAAAGGGAGUCGGGUGGAAGAUCCCCCGCCCACCAGUAUCCUGGAUUUACCCAGGUCGAGUUCAGAGAGCCUCCCCGGUCCCAACCCCCUCGGGCCCCAUGGGUCAGGGGGCCGCCUGCUGGGAAGUGCUACCUCAGCUAAGCCGCUCAGGUGUCCCGAGACUCCGGGCAAGGGAAGACAGGCGGCGAGACGGAGCCAGAAUAAGGGAUGCGGACGUCUGACCUGUGGAAAACCCAGCAUCUGCAGUGCCCAGCCGCACAGGGAACGUGGGCGGCGUGGUUCCAAGCACAGUGAAGACGCCAGGCUCGGAUCUGUGCUCAGAGCCGGGAUCCCUCCGGGCUGCUUCGUCCUGGCCAGGACUUUCCUUGCCCUGAAGUGAGGCGCCAGGGAAGCUGCAGGGCCCUCCGCCCUCUCUGAACUCCCACGUACUUGGGCCUCUCCCAGCCUUUCUUGGACCUGUGGAAGCAAUUCCUGCAGGACCAGACUCCCCUGUCUCCCCGCGGCCCCCUAGGUACACUCCGUAACUUCCGAAACCUUAUUUCGUUUGAGCGAAACCCGGCCCCUUUGGCUCUUCCCACUUCCCACAAGUCCCUGGGUUCCCGAUCCUGAGGGAUUGCAUUCAUCCCAUCUCACACCCACCAACGCUCAAUCCCUCCAGUUCCUCCCCAGCCCCUUCACUUCCAUUAAUUAGGUCGACUCCCUUCCUUCGCCGCUCCCUCCUGUCCCCACUCAGCCUCCCUACACCUAUGCGGCGAGCCUCGGGCCAAGACCUCCGCCCUGGCUCCGCCAGUCCUGCGGGGGCCGGCAUGCACCAGACCUCAAAAGGGAUCUUCACGGGAAUUCCGCAUAGCCAGAUCCCAAGCCUCCAGGGAGGCCACCAGCCCUCCCCCAUCUUCUUCUUCCUCCUCCGUCUCCUUUCCUCUUCCCUCCGCCUCUACGUAUUUCUUUCUAUUCGUUUCUUUUCGUUUGGUGAGGUGCCACCCGCCACAGCCCUGUCCCCUAGGGAGAGGCCUGGACUAACUUUGCCGUCCUCGUGGCCUUAGCCCGGACUGUGAGUCUCGAGCGGCUUCCGAGAGGCAGCUCGGGUGUCUUCGCAGAGACAGAUGAGGUGGGCUGGCGAUUCCCUAGCCUCAGAUGGCUCUGCCACCAGCCAGCUCUGUGAUCCUGGCCGAUGGGGUGCCAGGCAUUAGAAACCUUCCCUCCAAUCCUCACCAUGUCUCCAUUUUGCCAAAGAAGAAACUGAGGUUAAGGUCGCGAUGCUCUGGCCAGCAUCACAGGGCAGCAGAGUGGAAGCCAGGGCCUGGGACCCUCUGGCUGGGCAAGGAGGGACUGGAGUCCGGCUCCCGGUGACCCCGUCCCCAGUGCCAGCGGUGGGGUCGCCUGUGGCGGCCCGGACAGGCCACGGGUCCCUCUCCCCAAGUCCCAUUACGUUGUAUUUAUGUUUCAUUUUAUAGUUUUUUUUUCCUCCUCCCUUAUUAUUGUCUCACUCUGGGGGAGGCAAAGGAUAUAAUAUAUUCAUCUUUAUUAUACCAAAUCUGUGUGAAGCAUUUAAUAAAACGCUGUUUCCACACAGCCAGGGAUAUUAGUGUGAGCUAUCCUUAAGUUAAUGCUCCUGGACUGAGGGCGCCGCUGCCACAGCGCCUGCUGCCGGCGGGUCGCGGGAAGCGUAGGCCCUGGCCGCCGCGCUCCCCGCGCGGGUCCAACGCCCUGGGUGCCCUUCUCGCCUGCGCCUUGAAGCCCCCACGCCCAUCCUAGCGCGUCUCUCUGUGACCUCUCGGCCGCCAGCCUGGGAGGAGGGGUUUGGAAGAGCCGAAUUCAAGCACCCUUCCUCUCCCCUGCCACACCCUGCAUUUCGAAUCCGCUGUGGGCCUUGGCUUGCAUCUAUGAAAAUGGGAAGAAUUCCAUCACUGCCUCCCUCUCAGGGAUCUUGAGAGGCCGAAGAUGCCUUGAAGGUGGACAGGAUUUUUUAAACAGGAAAGAAAAAAUCGAGAAUUUGUAAGGUCAGGAUCAAUGAGGGCCAGAGAGAAAUAGAGAGGCUGCAGGAGUGGUUUCAGGCAACACAGAGCGAGCUGGACCCCAGGCGAGCAGACAGGGUGCAACUCCAGUUUGGGCAGAACCCAGGAGGUUUCGGCAUGCCUGGGCCUCACCCCAGCCCACGAAGACAGCUGAACCUAGUCAGGAUCUCGGCCUGUCACAGUUGGCCCUCUCAUAAUCCUCCCUCUAGGUAGGAAAAUAGUCUUUUUAAGUCCAGUUUUACAGCUAGCAAACUGAGGCUCACAAAGAUCACGUGGCUUGUUUGAGGUGAACAAACUAGGAAGUAGUGUAGCUGGUCACACUGUCUUCCAGACUCCAUGCCCCUCCCCGCCCCCAUUCUCCAGGGUUUUUCUGUAAACCUUACAUUCUGCCUUCUACACACGCGCGCGCGCACACACACACACACACACACACACACACACAUCCCUACCUGGAGAUGCCCAUGGGAAGGAGAAACACCCUCAUUACUUUCUAUAUCCAGGCCCACUGCUCAGUGUCUUUCAGAGCCCACCACCUGGCUUCUUAUAGGGCCCAGAUCUGGGCACACCAUUCUUACUUAGGCUGCUUGUACCUGUGCUGUAGGGGAGAGGGAGUUGGCUGUAACCAGGCAAAGCCAGGCAGAAGGAGUCAUGCAGGACAGGCUUGAAGUGGGCAGGUGAGUCUCCCUGGCUAGAAUCCAUACUCUCCUAGGAAUCUCAGUCUUCCUCUGCCCCCAUCACCCCAUCCCUGGGAGUGGGGGCUGCACAAGCUCAACACACAUCCUGUAGGCUGCUGGUCAGAGCUCCUUUGGAGACUUAAGUUACUUGAGAAAUCUGACAGUUCCCCCCUGGGGCUGGCUGGGGAGGAGGCACAGACUGUGUGGCAGGGCUAGGACUAGGGUGAGGCAUGUGAGGUGCCAUAUUUAAGGAAGGCAUCUGCUCUCAGCUCUGUGUGUGAUCCCUUAGGUUUUGUGCCGUGGGCAUCUCACUCGCCUCACCCUAGUCCCAGCUCUACUGUGUGGUCUGGGAGUUAGAAUCAAGUCCAGUGAACUGCUGAGAGGGGACAGGGAGGCUGAUUUCAGCUCAUCCUUGAGAAUGGCUUUCUGAAGGAUCAAAGUGGAAACAAUGGAAUGAGCUUCCCCCAACACAUGGAGUAUGCAAGCAGGGCUUAGCGCUUGCUAAGAAGGAAAAUAAUCACGGUCUUAUUGUCAUCACCAAUAUUGUCCUCAUUUGACCAUCACUUUGUGUCAAGUAAAAGCUGUCAUCACAUUGUUUCAUUUAAUGUAUAUAAAUAUGUUUUAGCUGAAUAUGGGAUAUCAGAGUCUCUGACUUUGGGGUCCUUUCCAGCUCCAAGAGUCCAUUGUUGCAUAAGACAAAGAGCACUUCUGUUGAUUUUUGUUGGUUUGAUGCAUUGUCAUUAUUUGUGGACUUAUAGUCUUAUACUAAUGGAUAAGACUUUGAGGGCAGGGACUGUGUCUAAUCACAUUUUUUUAAAUGAUUCCCUCUCCUGUUCCAUGCUGACCACGGGCCUGGGGCACAUAGAAGCUGUUCAAUAAAUGUGUAUCAAACAAACACAUGAGUAA
rnacentral:lncRNA from 10 species